rnacentral:rRNA from 1 species
UACGGAGGGUGCAAGCGUUAAUCGGAAUUACUGGGCGUAAAGCGCACGCAGGUGGCUGAGUCAGUCGAUUGUGAAAGCCCUGGGCUUAACCUGGGAAUUGCAGUCGAUACUACUCAGCUAGAGUAUGGGAGAGGGUAGUGGAAUUCCAGGUGUAGCGGUGAAAUGCGUAGAUAUCUGGAGGAACACCGGUGGCGAAGGCGACAUCCUGGACCGGUAUUGACGCUGAGGCGCGAAAGCCAGGGGAGCAAACGGG